ensembl:lncRNA
GUCCUGGGAAUCCGGAGUUAUAAAAAUAUCACAUAUUGGUAUGCUGCGCAGACAGAUCCAGGUAUAAUUUAAGAUGUGCACUCUCAGUAUUCACUGACAUCAGCCCUCCCACAUUCCCAAAGGUCUCUCGCUCUUCUGUGGAAAGUCGCGAGCGCACAUUCACGUGGCGGUGUGCUCUAGUUACCACAGCAACCGGGCCGAGGCAGUUUAUUGUAUAUUCCGCGCACAGUUCCCGACUCCUCCGUCCUCAACAAGUCAAAGACACUUUUCCCCCGUUUAAUUCUGUACUAAAACCACGAAAAGAGUUAUUUUCGCCAUUGGACGCAUCUGGAAUCUCAUAGACGAGCGUCAAUCCAAAAACACCAGCCUCCUCAAUGUAAACAACAACGAUGACGAUGCCACAAAGUGUAUUGACACCAUCUGUCAGAGCUCCAGCCGGUGCCUGAGGAUGAUCUCUUCAGACCAGUGAGCAUCCCCCUGACCUGGACAGACACUUACCGCCAAGCGAAAAGCCCAAAAAGGGGUGGAUUAAGGUGGUCAGGGGCCCCUAGGCUGCUCUUUGUGUGAGUCCACACGCAAAUAGUAAGGUGUGGUGAGCUAUGACCAUAAGAUGGAUAGCCGAGGAUGGCAUGGAAACAUCAUUAUCUGUGACCUUUGGUUGACUUGAACAUAUAAAAAAAGAAAGAAGGGAAAAAAAU